rnacentral:misc_RNA from 1 species
AAAUGCGAUAAGUAGUGUGAAUUGCAGAAUUCAGUGAAUCAUCGAAUCUUUGAACGCACAUUGCGCCCCUUGGUAUUCCAUGGGGCAUGCCUGUUCGAGCGUCAUUUGUACCUUCAAGCUCUGCUUGGUGUUGGGUGUUUGUCUCGCCUCUGCGCGCAGACUCGCCUCAAAACAAUUGGCGGCCGGCGUAUUGAUUUCGGAGCGCAGUACAUCUCGCGCUUUGCACUCAGAACGACGACGUCCAAAAGUACAUUUUUUACACUCUUGACCUCGGAUCAGGUAGGGAUACCCGCUGAACUUAAGC